GAUGAUUCUAGUACGUUCUAGGAAGACUGCUGAGGAGAGAUUCAACGGCGGCAGAGAACAUAACCCUGCAAGGCCGCGGCUACAAGAUUCAUCUCCGACGAUGACGGAAGAUGACGCCGAGGAAGACGCCCAGAACAGAUUGUACCCACCGCACCCUCUUGCCCGGCUUCCUUCAGCUCCCAGGAAGAAGCUGAAGCCCUGGAAUUGGCUGUGCCCUGAUGCGGGGUCGGCUAUGACAGCGUCCCGCCGGAUCCUAUUGUUCAAUAUGUUCGCUGCUCCUCAAAGAUUUUUUUCAUUUUUGAAUUUGAUGAACAUGCCAUCUAUGCCUUUAUCCAAACAAUUGAUGUUCAUUUUGAGCCAGAGAGAGAAAAGAAAGAUAUGAUUCUGAGGAAUUCCAAGGAACAGGAGAAAGGGGGGAACAACAGAGAGACUAUGUUGUUUAGCCUCAAUUUGGUAAGUAAAAUAAGAAGGUGAGAAUUUGUACAGUUUAAUUUGAAGUGCCAGUGGUCA
rnacentral:lncRNA from 1 species